AUGGGCCGGGCCCAGAGCGCCAGGGACCCCGUUGUGCUCUCUGCCGGUUACGCCAGGGGCCGAAGCCCUGUCCUCCCUGCUUGGGGGCAGGUUUCUAGGGGGCAAAUAGCAACAGGAGGCAGAGCCCAGGGUGUGGGUCCGCCAGGAACCAAGAGACCCGGGGGCCUGAUGCCCAUGCUGGAGUUUGUGGGCCACAGGAAUGUCAAGAGGGUCUGGGACACUGCACCUGAUGGGCCCGAAACAGCUGCUCCUCCCCCGGAGAAUCUCCCCCAGGGCAGCCCAGCCAGGGCCCCUCCACAGCAUCACAAGGAUGGCUCCUCCUUCCAGUACCACUACCCUGUCCCCUCUACUCAGCUUUGCACUGAAGUCAGGGCCACCAGGAUCACUAAAGAGCUUCUGGCCUGGGCCUGUCAGGUCCUGACGGAGCAGGAGCCAGCUGAGGCCUAACCUGAUGGGUGUGCACUCCCAAAUUGGGCUGGAGACAGGGGUGAAGACCUGCUCUGUCUCGUUCCUAUUUUCUCCCCUCCCACCAGUCAGGGGGCUCAUCCCAGGGCAGUCAGUUUAGUUUUUUAAUAAAAUAAUCUC
rnacentral:lncRNA from 1 species